rnacentral:rRNA from 1 species
UACAGAGGGGGCAAGCGUUGUUCGGAAUUACUGGGCGUAAAGGGCGCGUAGGCGGCCUGCUAAGUCGAACGUGAAAUCCCUGGGCUCAACCCAGGAACUGCGUCCGAUACUGGUUGGCUUGAAUCCGGGAGAGGGACGUGGAAUUCCAGGUGUAGCGGUGAAAUGCGUAGAUAUCUGGAGGAACACCGGUGGCGAAGGCGACGUCCUGGACCGGCAUUGACGCUGAGGCGCGAAAGCGUGGGGAGCGAACCGG